UAGGAUGGACUCGCGUCCAAUUAGCUAGUUGGUGAGGUAACGGCCCACCAAGGCGACGAUUGGUAGCCGGACUGAGAGGUUGAACGGCCACAUUGGGACUGAGACACGGCCCAGACUCCUACGGGAGGCAGCAGUGGGGGAUAUUGCACAAUGGGGGAAACCCUGAUGCAGCGACGCCGCGUGGAGGAAGAAGGUUUUCGGAUUGUAAACUCCUGUCGUUAGGGACGAUAAUGACGGUACCUAACAAGAAAGCACCGGCUAACUACGUGCCAGCAGCCGCGGUAAAACGUAGGGUGCAAGCGUUGUCCGGAAUUACUGGGUGUAAAGGGAGCGCAGGCGGACCGGCAAGUUGGAAGUGAAAUCCAUGGGCUCAACCCGUGAAUUGCUUUCAAAACUGCUGGCCUUGAGUAGUGCAGAGGUAGGUGGAAUUCCCGGUGUAGCGGUGGAAUGCGUAGAUAUCGGGAGGAACACCAGUGGCGAAGGCGACCUACUGGGCACCAACUGACGCUGAGGCUCGAAAGCAUGGGUAGCAAACAGGAUUAGAUACCCUGGUAGUCCAUGCCGUAAACGAUGAUUACUAGGUGUUGGAGGAUUGACCCCUUCAGUGCCGCAGUUAACACAAUAAGUAAUCCACCUGGGGAGUACGACCGCAAGGUUGAAACUCAAAGGAAUUGACGGGGGCCCGCACAAGCAGUGGAGUAUGUGGUUUAAUUCGAAGCAACGCGAAGAACCUUACCAGGUCUUGACAUCCGAUGCAUAGCUUAGAGAUAAGUGAAGUCCUUCGGGACAUCGAGACAGGUGGUGCAUGGUUGUCGUCAGCUCGUGUCGUGAGAUGUUGGGUUAAGUCCCGCAACGAGCGCAACCCUUAUUGCCAGUUACUACGCAAGAGGACUCUGGCGAGACUGCCGUUGACAAAACGGAGGAAGGUGGGGAUGACGUCAAAUCAUCAUGCCCUUUAUGACCUGGGCUACACACGUACUACAAUGGCGUUAAACAAAGAGAAGCAAGACCGCGAGGUGGAGCAAAACUCAAAAACAACGUCUCAGUUCAGAUUGCAGGCUGCAACUCGCCUGCAUGAAGUCGGAAUUGCUAGUAAUCGCGGAUCAGCAUGCCGCGGUGAAUACGUUCCCGGGCCUUGUACACACCGCCCGUCACACCAUGAGAGCCGGGGGGACCCGAAGUCGGUAGUCUAACCGUAAGGAGGACGCCGCCGAAGGUAAAACUGGUGAUUGGGGUGAAGUCGUAACAAGGUAGCCGUA
rnacentral:rRNA from 1 species